AGUCACUAGUGCUUUCCUCCGAUCUCCUAUCGGUGGCCCCACAUUUGAAAGCACAAAAAAGCUUGAGCUUGAUUGUGCCAGAGAAACUCCCACUGAAGGAGCGACCAGCGCAACUGCAGACUGUUCAGGUUCGGUUGUGGCCUCCAUCUCAGUCUGAACCUCAGUUGGUGGAGCUAUCGAUAUUGCUGCGGCAGCCUCGUUUUCUCUCAUUGCCCCUUCUUCAGCAGACGGUACAUUAGGGAGUGCUGUCGGAGCCGAUAAUGCCAGAACUGGCUCGAAAAUCGAUAUCGAUGGUACGUCAAAUUUUUUCGUCGGUGCGGAUGUAGAUGCCCGACCCUUCUUCGGUGGUCGGGAGGAUCCAGCUUCGG
rnacentral:lncRNA from 1 species